rnacentral:rRNA from 1 species
UGGGGAAUAUUGCACAAUGGGCGCAAGCCUGAUGCAGCCAUGCCGCGUGUAUGAAGAAGGCCUUCGGGUUGUAAAGUACUUUCAGCGAGGAGGAAGGCGGUAAGGUUAAUAACCUUAUCGAUUGACGUUACUCGCAGAAGAAGCACCGGCUAACUCCGUGCCAGCAGCCGCGGUAAUACGGAGGGCGCAAGCGUUAAUCGGAAUUACUGGGCGUAAAGCGCACGCAGGCGGUCUGUCACGUCGGAUGUGAAAUCCCCGGGCUCAACCUGGGAACUGCAUUCGAAACUGGCAGGCUAGAGUCUUGUAGAGGGGGGUAGAAUUCCAGGUGUAGCGGUGAAAUGCGUAGAGAUCUGGAGGAAUACCGGUGGCGAAGGCGGCCCCCUGGACAAAGACUGACGCUCAGGUGCGAAAGCGUGGGGAGCAAACA